rnacentral:lncRNA from 1 species
AGCGGCUUAAGAGACCUGGAGUGGGAGCAUGAAGGAUGGAAGUGACACCAGGUCUCAGAAGAAUGAAAUUCCACCUGAGAUAUCCAGAUACAAUUCAAGAACAAACCCUUCAAAGUCAUAGAUCGAAGGAAACGGCAUCAUUAGGAGAGAAGCAGCAGUGCUGGAAUUAUGCAACACCCGGUCAGGAGCAACGAGACGAAGAGCAGUACUCCUGUCGGUAGCUCAAACUAGAAAAGUAGAGGAUUGUCCUUUUUUGUGGCUGGCAAAAAUUUCAGCCCUGAAGAAGCCACACGUUCUGGCUGCCCCCAGACUGGAUCCUGCUUGUGGGUGUAGUUCAGCUCUAGUAUUUGCUACUAGAGAUGCUGCACAAACUAACACCAGGAACCGGCAUUCAGCAGGUGUGCGAUAUUUUGUCUUCCUGUUGGAGGUUACAACUAACCCUGUGCUAGUUCAGCCAUAACGUUUGACUUUUCUAUUCUUUCUGAUAUUCUACCUCUAAUGUAACAGCGCGAGUGGUGGCAUCACUAUAGAUCAGGUCUGGACCAGUCAUUUGCCCGCUCUCCCAAGGAGAGUCCCCUCCAGUGCUGGCAUCCUGACAGAGCAACACCUCGCUCUGCUGGCACCUUCCAACGGGACGAGGGACAGGGGAUGCAGAGAGCUGGGCAGUGUGUAUAGAGCCUUGGUUCUCCAGGUAUUUAUGGCUAUGUAGGGCCAGUGAUGACAAGCCAUUAUGUUAUUAGGUGCCUCACAAUUAAUGAAUGGUGCUCUCAGUCUGCUUGCGUCUGUGGCAUGAAGGAAAAACAUC